rnacentral:rRNA from 1 species
GGGUACACGAGCGGCGAACGGGUGAGUAACACGUGGGUAACCUGCCCUGUACUCUGGGAUAAGCCUGGGAAACUAGGUCUAAUACCGGAUAUGACCUGCCUCCGCAUGGUGGUGGGUGGAAAGUUCCGGCGGUACGGGAUGGGCCCGCGGCCUAUCAGCUUGUUGGUGGGGUGAUGGCCUACCAAGGCGACGACGGGUAGCCGGCCUGAGAGGGUGACCGGCCACACUGGGACUGAGACACGGCCCAGACUCCUACGGGAGGCAGCAGUGGGGAAUAUUGCACAAUGGGCGAAAGCCUGAUGCAGCGACGCCGCGUGAGGGAUGACGGCCUUCGGGUUGUAAACCUCUUUCAGCAGGGACGAAGCGCGAGUGACGGUACCUGCAGAAGAAGCACCGGCUAACUACGUGCCAGCAGCCGCGGUAAUACGUAGGGUGCGAGCGUUGUCCGGAAUUAUUGGGCGUAAAGAGCUCGUAGGCGGUUUGUUGCGUCGGCCGUGAAAACUUCACGCUUAACGUGGAGCCUGCGGUCGAUACGGGCAGACUUGAGUUCGGCAGGGGAGACUGGAAUUCCUGGUGUAGCGGUGAAAUGCGCAGAUAUCAGGAGGAACACCGGUGGCGAAGGCGGGUCUCUGGGCCGAUACUGACGCUGAGG